AGAGGCGCGGGGAGAAGUCCGGGGAGAGCGGGCGUUGGGUUUACUAGGCGCAUGCGCAAAGCGCUUUGGCUCAUUUACCUGUAAUUGAAGAAUGAGUCCCAGCUUGAGAUCCGUAUUCACCUUGCCUGCGAGCCCAGUCUCCCGGGGGGAAAGAGAGUGUGCAGGCGGAAAAAGCUUCAGCGCUGAGCACAGCCCCACCUGCUGAGCCACUGCCGACAGGACACAGGAGCAGGAGUGAGAGUAUCAGCGUAUCAGAUGGGCCCCAGGGUGUCUUGACUGCUGAUCAAGAGGAGGCAUCCCAGCCUCCUGCCCUCGGGGGAAAGGAUGCUGAAGGGCGUGGGUCUUCUACAGUCUCCCAGAGGCCCCAGCAGGAUUGAGCCCCAGUUUCUAUGAAGGCAACCUGGUCAUUCAUGCACCUUCUUUUGGCUUCUCCCCUGUUCCUGUCUCAGCUUCCCACUCCCUUAUAGGUGCUUGCUGGGGUCAUUUUCUUUCUUUCUUUUUCGGCGGCGCCAUGUGGCAUGUGGGAUCUUAGUUCCCCGACCAGGCAAUGGAACCCAUGACCCCUGCAUUGGGAGUGAAGAGUCUUAACCACUGGAUUGCCAGGGGAGUCCCCUUGCUGGUGUCAUUUUCUGAAUAGACUAUUUGCAUUUAAAUCCUUGUCUCAGAGUCAGCUGUGGAGGAGCCCAGCCAAAAACACUGGGACAAGUAAUUAUUGGACCAGGCAUUCUUUCAAGUGCUCUAUAUGUACAAACCCACUUAAUCCUCACAACCACCCUGUGAGGCAGGUGCUGUUGUUAUUACUCCCAUUUCACAGAUAAAGAAAACUGAGGCACAGAGAAGCUGGGACACUUGUAAAGGUCACACAGCAGAGAAAUGGUGGAGGUGGGAUCCACAUGUGGGCUUCUGACUGCAGAGCCACAACACUUAAGAGUAAAUCUCUCUGUUAUCCGUGUAAGAAA